GCCAGCGUAGUUCAGCGGUAGAGCAGGCGCUUCGUAAGCGUCAGGCCGUCGGUUCGAUUCCGACCGCUGGCU
rnacentral:tRNA from 4 species